UUGUUGCUCUUCCUGAACUCACUCCAAUUUGUUCACAUCUUUCCUAAAGUGUGGUGCCCAAGAUUGGACCCAGUACUUCAGCUAAGGCCUCAUCAAUGUUGAGGAAAGGG